AACCUGGUUGAUCCUGCCAGUAGUAUAUGCUUGUCUCAAAGAUUAAGCCAUGCAUGUCCAAGUAUAAACAACUUUAUACAGCGAAACUGCGUACAGCUCAUUACAUCAGUUAUAAUUCCUUUGAAGGUUAACAAAUUACAUGGGAUACCUAUGGUAACUCCAGAGCUAAUACAUGCGUCAAGUCUUGACUAGGGUUACACCUGGGAGAGAUGUAUUUAUUAGAUUCCAGCCUACUCGUUUGCGGGGCAACUCGUAAGCGUUUUGGUGAUUCAUGGUAACUGUUUCGGAUCAAUGUCGCAAGACAUUCGAUAGUUCAUUCAAAUUUCUGCCCUAUCAGCUUUGGAUGGUAGUGUAGUGGACUACCAUGGCAUUUACGGGUAACGGGGAAUUAAGGGUUCGGUUCCGGAGAGGCAGCCUGAGAAACGGCUACCACAUCCAAGGAAGGCAGCAGGCGCGCAAAUUACCCACUCUUGACACAAGGAGGUAGUGACAAGAAAUGCUGAUGCCAGACGCCUUUGUGUGUUUGGUAAUCGGAAUGAGAGGCAGUUAAAUCUAGUACUCGAAAGCAACUGGAGGGCAAGUCUGGUGUCUGCAGUACGGUAAUUCCAGCUCCAGUAGCGUAUAUUAAAAUUGUUGCAGUUAAAAAGCUCGUAGUUGGAUUUUUGUUGUGGUUUUCGUGCUGGCUCCAUGGGUGGACUUGUGCCAUUCAUGUGAGCUGGUACACACGACAUUUGGAGGUAAGCGCGUAAAGGUGAAAACUUAAUACGCAGCUUCCCCACAUACUUUGAGAAAAUUAAAGUGUUCCAAGCAGGCUCUUUUAGAGUUGCCAUGAAUACUACAGCAUGGAAUAAAACCAUCGGAUCUUUGUUCCGUUGGUGGGCUCGUUGAACAAAGUCAUGAUCGAUAUUGGACGAUGGGGGUGCUUGUAUUCCUGGAGCAGAGGUGAAAUUCUUGGACCCCAGGAAGACAAACAACAGCGAAAGCAUUCACCAAAUAGUCCCAAAUUAAUCAAGAACGAAAGUUGAGGGAUCGAAGACAAUCAGAUACUGUCGUAGUCUCAACCAUAAACGUUUGUAUUUUGGGGUGAGUGGAGAUCUGUUCUGUUUGGACAAGUACUUCGCAAGAAGCAACUGUCUGGCAGUAUUGGAGUCACUCGAACCAUGUGGAAAACCAAAAAUACGUCCGGGGGGAAUAUUAUCGCAAGAUAGAAACUUAAAGGCAUUGACGGAAGGAAACACCAGGAGUGGAGCCUGCGGCUUAAAUUGACUCAACACGAGAAAUCUCACCAGGCCCGGACAUAUUGAGGAUUGACAGCCUUGAAGCGCUUUCUUGAUUAUUGUGGAAGUGGUGCAUGGCCGCUCUUGGCUGGUGGUGUGGAUUGUCUGGUUAAUUCCGUUAACGAGCGAGACGUUGUGGGUGCUCCCGAAUGGGAGUGUUUGAUAAAUAGAUGGUUGCGCUUCCCUUGUGGUGCGUAUCUGGUCAUCUUCUUAGCCCGACAAUUGCUGUGUAAGCAAUGGAAGUUCAACGCAAUAGCAGGUCCGUGAUGCCCUUAGAUGUUCUGGGCCGCACGCGCGCUACACUGUUUGUACUAGCGUGUUUUACAGCUUGUUGGAUCUUCAUCGGUCCCAACAUGACCUUGGUCGAGAGACCUGGGAAAUCAUUCAAAUACAGACGUGCUAGGGAUUGUCGAUUGCAAUUAUUCGUCAUAAACGAGGAAUUCCUUGUAAGCGCACGUCAUCAGCGUGCAUUGACGUACGUCCCUUUCCUUUGUACACACCGCCCGUCGCUGCUACCGAUUGGAUGUUUUAGUGAGUUGUGGGGAGGUGUGUUGUGCCUUAACCGGUGCAAUGUGCCAAACCACACCAAACUUGAGGAUCUAGAGGAAGCAAAAGUCGUAACAAGGUUUCCGUAGGUGAACCUGCAGGAUGAUC
rnacentral:rRNA from 1 species